rnacentral:rRNA from 1 species
GUGGCAAACGGGUGAGGAAUACAUGGGUAACCUACCCCUUGAGAAGGGAAAUAACCCGCCGAAAGGUGAGCUAAUACCCUAUACGCAUUCUUUUUUCGAAAAGGAUAGGAAAGCCGGGUCGAGGACCUGGUACUCAAGGAGGGGCUCAUGUCCUAUCAGCUUGUUGGUGGGGUAACGGCCUACCAAGGCUACGACGGGUAGCUGGUCUGAGAGGAUGAUCAGCCACACUGGCACUGAGAUACGGGCCAGACUCCUACGGGAGGCAGCAGUGAGGAAUAUUGCGCAAUGGGACGAAAGCCUGACGCAGCGACGCCGCGUGGGGAUGAAGGUUUUCGGAUUGUAAACCCCUUUCAUGAGGAAAGAUAAAGUGGGUAACCACUUAGACGGUACCUCAAGAAGAAGCCACGGCUAACUUCGUG